rnacentral:rRNA from 1 species
AAUAUUGCGCAAUGGGGGGAACCCUGACGCAGCAACGCCGCGUGAGUGACGAAGGUUUUCGGAUCGUAAAGCUCGGUCAUCGGGGACGAAGAAUUGACGGUAUCCGAGGAGAAAGACCCCGCUCACUCUCCGCCAGCGGCCGCGGUAAUACGUAGGGGGCGAGCGUUGUCCGGAAUUACUGGGCGUAAAGGGUGCGUAGGCGGCCAAUUAAGUCAGAUGUGAAAUACCACGGCUUAACCGUGGGGGUGCAUUUGAAACUGUUUGGCUUGAGUGCAGGAGAGGAAAGCGGAAUUCCUAGUGUAGCGGUGAAAUGCGUAGAGAUUAGGAGGAACACCAGUGGCGAAGGCGGCUUUCUGGACUGUAACUGACGCUGAGGCACGAAAGCGUGGGUAGCGAACA